UACAGAGGUCUCAAGCGUUGUUCGGAUUCAUUGGGCGUAAAGGGUGCGUAGGCGGCGCGGUAAGUCGGGUGUGAAAUCUCGGAGCUUAACUCCGAAACUGCAUUCGAUACUGCCGUGCUUGAGGACUGGAGAGGAGACUGGAAUUUACGGUGUAGCGGUGAAAUGCGUAGAUAUCGUAAGGAAGACCAGUGGCGAAGGCGGGUCUCUGGACAGUUCCUGACGCUGAGGCACGAAGGUCAGGGGAGCAAACGGGAUUAGAUACCCCGGUAGUCCUGACAGUAAACGGUGCACGUUUGGUGUGGGAGGAUUCGACCCCUUCUGCGCCGGAGCUAACGCGUUAAACGUGCCGCCUGGGGAGUACGGUCGCAAGAUUAAAACUCAAAGAAAUUGACGGGGGCCCGCACAAGCGGUGGAGUAUGUGGCUCAAUUCGAUGCAACGCGAAGAACCUUACCAGGCCUUGACAUGCAUUGCUAAGUUGGUGAAAGCCAGCGACUGGAGCAAUCCAGACCUUGCACAGGUGCUGCAUGGCUGUCGUCAGCUCGUGUCGUGAGAUGUUGGGUUAAGUCCCGCAACGAGCGCAACCCCUGUGAACUGUUGCCACGGAACCGAGAGGUUCCAGCACUCUGUUCAGACUGCCCCGCUCUAACGGGGAGGAAGGUGGGGACGACGUCAAGUCAGUAUGGCCCUUACGGCCUGGGCUGCACACGUACUACAAUGCCCAGCACAGAACGAUCCAAGACCGCGAGGUGGAGGAAAUCACUAAAACUGGGCCCAGUUCAGAUUGAAGUCUGCAACUCGACUUCAUGAAGCCGGAAUCGCUAGUAAUGGCGUAUCAGCUACGACGCCGUGAAUACGUUCCCGGGCCU
rnacentral:rRNA from 1 species